GGCUCAGGAAGAACGCUGGCGGCGAUCCUCAUACAUGCAAGUCGAGCGGGGUCCAUCCAGUGGCAACACUGGUGAAGACCUAUCGCCCAACGGGUGAGUAACACGUGAGGAACCUGCCCCAGAGACCGGGAUAACCCUCCGAAAGGAGAGCUAAUACCGGAUGCCCCCACCGGAUCGCAUGGUCUGGUGAGGAAAUGGAUUCCGCUCUGGGAGGGCCUCGCGGCCUAUCAGCUUGUUGGUGAGGUAACGGCUCACCAAGGCGUCGACGGGUAGCUGGUCUGAGAGGACGGUCAGCCACACUGGGACUGAGACACGGCCCAGACUCCUACGGGAGGCAGCAGUGGG
rnacentral:rRNA from 1 species